rnacentral:lncRNA from 1 species
AUUUCAUCAAAGAACAUUUCCUAAAAAACCUGAUCUCAGUACCUGCCAUCUCUAGAAACUUUGUUCCUGAACUGCUUGUUUUGCAAGGUGAUAUAUGCAGGGCUGGGGGCGGAGGGUGGAAAGACUUGAUGUGCAUUGUCAACUAAAUUAAUGAACUGUCAUCUAUCCAGUGAGUUUACUGAAGAGCCUACAGAAAUGUGAACAAAUGGGAUAUCACCAGAGCCACAGAUGCUCAGUGCUACCUGAUGGCAGCACCAGAAUCACCAGUACGGCUUUCCCAAAUCCUCUCUGAAUAUCAUCCAAGAGAUGGGAAUGUUCACAUUUUAAGGAGGUGCUGUUUUGUUUUCCUGGGUUUUUCCACACAAACUGAGGAAACAUUGUGUCUGGAAAAUUACAAGGUCAGCUUGUGCCAGAAGCUAUUGCUGGAGAAACAGCCCAGUGACGCCAUUAAACAGGCCACAGUUAAUUAGUAGCAAACCCUGAAGAUGUUUCUUACAUUAUGACACAGAGAGAUAGUGGAGAAAGCAAGAAAAAGAAAAAUCUGGAUAGGGG